AUUUAAAUUUAAUUCUAGUUUAUUUUAAAUAUCUAUAUAAUGAUUUAAAUAUGUAAAUUUUUGUGCGAUAAAGUAAUGUAUUUAAAUAGUUCAUUAUAUUUUUAUAAUUCGCAGUUUAUUUUUUUAUUUAUUUAGUAAUUUAAGAUAUAGUUAAUUAUAUUUUUGACUAGCUAAAAUUGUGCCAGCAGCUGCGGUUAUACAAUUAGUUAAAGUUAUUUAUAUUGGUAUUUUAUUAAUUUUAUUUUAUGACAUUAUAUAUUCAUAUGAAUUUUUAAGUGAAAUUUAAAUUUUGAUUUUAAUGUUUGGUUAAUGUUUAUUAAUUAUAAGAAAUUCUUAAUUUAAACUAGGAUUAGAUACCCUAUUAUUUUGAAUGUAAAUUUUAAUUCCUAGUACUGUUAGUUAAGAUCUUUAAAUUGAAAGAAUUUGACGGUAAUUUUAAUCAUUUUAGAGGAACCUGUUCUGUAAUUGAUAAUCCACGAUAAAUUUUACCUUAAUUAUUGGUUUGUAUAUCUCUGUCUGUAGAAUGUUUUAUUAGAAAUAAUUUUCUUUAUAUUUUAAUAUUUUGAAUUAUAUGUCAGGUCAAGGUGCAGCUAUAUUAAGGAUUGAAAUGGGUUACAUUUAAUAUUUUUAUUAUUGGAUUAAUUAUUUAAUUUAUAUUUAUUAAAUUGGAUUUAAUUGUAAUGAGUAAUAUAUAUUAUUCAUGAUAAAUGUUCUUGAUUAAGUACAUAUCGCCCGUCGCUCUCAUUAAUAAGAUGAGAUAAGUCGUAACAAAGUAAUCCUAUCGGAAGUUGGGGUUAGAAUUAUA
rnacentral:ncRNA from 1 species